GCAGAGACCUACCUGUGUUUGCUGUGGCGACUGUCCGGGCCAAAGCUCAGGCAGCUGGAAGUAUCAGUGAAGCCAGAAGAUUCUAGCUGUUCAGGGUCUGUGAGGAGGAGUCAAGGUCUGGGGUUUGUGUCCUCUGGCAUAGCAAUGGCACUGCAAUGGGGGAGCCUGUUGCUGGGCUGGGCCAUCUCGCCACUGUCACCUGCCUGUUGAGGGGUGACGGUGGUUGUUGAGAGGCUGGAUCAGACCCCAGAGGUGACAUGGAUGUGGCAUAUUUGUUGGACUUACACAGCCUUGCAUUUUAUUUUCAUCUCUGUUCCUUCCUCCCAUGAGAUCUUGGGUGGUGUUUAUCAACCCUGAGUAAUCGUUUCUUUGUCUGCAAGAUGGAAUAAAAAGGCCUACCUCAUUGGGCUCGUGUGGGUGAGGAGAACUGAAGAGUCUGAGAGCGCGGCACGAGCCAGAGGCUACGGAAAACACUGCCCUCCUACACUCCACCUUGGAGAGACCCAGAAAAGAACAAGCUUCAUUUGUAAAAAAGGAAAACAACUCAGGCAAUGGGGGUGGCUUAAAGAACUUGGAAUAACUUGCAGUGUCUUGCAGUAUUGUGAAACCAGCAACUUGUUCACAAUUCUUCUGAAUUUCUUGGGAAAUUUGAAGUGGAGUACCUGUACCAACAUGAAAUGACACGAAUUUAAGUGACGCUCAACAACGAAAAGCAAAAAGAACCAAAGAGGAAGCAACUGAAACAACAUCUGGAUGUAUUUAAAAAUAUACAAUGCCUCCAAAAUCAGGUGUCAUUAAUGAAAAUUCUGAAGAAAUGCCACCGGACAUAGCCAACGCACCUACGCUGUUGUUAUUCAUUUCCUGCUUUUCACAGAAAACAAUUUUGUUGCAUGGAAGAUCGUGAACUUCAAAGGGCAGAGGGGAAACUGUCCCUUGGCCUCUACCCCUCCAAGGCCCCACUUUUUUGUCAACACUCCUUGGACGCAGCAGAAGUAUGAACAUAAUAUGGUCCUGAAUGAGGCUGAGUCUUUGGGCGCAGAAGACCCGGGUUAAUAAAAAUAGGAAGGUAAGAAAAGAAAAGAAAAAUCAAGACACAUCAUAGGACUAAAUUCCUAUUAUUUAUCCACUCAGGAUUGACCACCCCUUUGGGCCAGAUAGUUGUACCCCCAUGUACCAGGUGGGCACAUGAAGACACAAGAAGUGCUGUGAUGGUUCAUUUUGCACGUCACCUUGCGUGGAGUAUGCCAACUCAUUGUUUGGUCAAACACUAGUCUGGACAUGGUGGUAAAGGUAUUUUUUAGAUGAGAUUAACACUUAAAUCAGUAAAGCAGGUUACCCACCAUACUACGGGUGGGCCCUGUCCAAUCAGUUGAAGGCAUUAAGAACAAAGAUUGAGGUUUCCUAAAGAAGAUGGAAUUCUCCUUGAGACUACAACAUAGAAACCCUAUCUGAGUUUCCAGCCUGUUGCCCUGUGGAAUUCAAACUCAGGACUCCGGUCUAUGACAUUAACCCUCACUUAACUUUUCAGCCUGCCAGCCUGCCCUAUGGAUUUCGGACUUGCCAGCCACACAAUUCCUUAAAAUAAAUCUCUCCGUCUCUGUC
rnacentral:lncRNA from 1 species